GACGAACGCUGGCGGCGUGCUUAACACAUGCAAGUCGAACGGAAAGGCCCUGCUUUUGUGGGGUGCUCGAGUGGCGAACGGGUGAGUAACACGUGGGUAACCUGCCCUUGACUUUGGGAUAACUUCAGGAAACUGGGGCUAAUACCGGAUAGGAGCUCCUGCUGCAUGGUGGGGGUUGGAAAGUUUCGGCGGUUGGGGAUGGACUCGCGGCUUAUCAGCUUGUUGGUGGGGUAGUGGCUUACCAAGGCUUUGACGGGUAGCCGGCCUGAGAGGGUGACCCGCCACAUUGGGACUGAGAUACGGCCCAGACUCCUACGGGAGGCAGCAGUGGGGAAUAUUGCACAAUGGGCGGAAGCCUGAUGCAGCAACGCCGCGUGCGGGAUGACGGCCUUCGGGUUGUAAACCGCUUUCGCCUGUGACGAAGCGUGAGUGACGGUAAUGGGUAAAGAAGCACCGGCUAACUACGUG
rnacentral:rRNA from 1 species